GAUCCCUUAGCUCAGCGGUAGAGCGUCUGAUUCCAGUUGUGGCUUCCAGAAGGUCAUCCGUUCAAUCCGGGUAGGGGUCA